GACGAACGCUGGCGGCGUGCUUAACACAUGCAAGUCGAACGAAGUGGCGAACGGGUGAGUAACGCGUAAUCAACCUGCCCUUCAGAGGGGGACAACAGGUGGACACAACUGCUAAUACCGCAUACUGAAGGAGGGGAUUGCGUCUGAUUAGCUAGUGGGAGGGGUAACGGCACACCAAGGCGGGGACCAGUAGUCCGUCGUAGAGGAUGGACGGCCAAAAUGGGAGUGAGACACGGCCCAGACGGCUACGGGAGGCAGCAGGGGGGAAUCUGCCGCAAUGGACGAAAGUCUUACGGAGCAACGGCGCGGGAGUGAUGACGGCCUUCGGGUUGUAAAGCUCUGUUAAUCGGGACGCGGUACCGGAAUAGAAAGCAACGGCUAACUACGUGCCAGCAGCCGCGGUAAUUC
rnacentral:rRNA from 1 species